UUGUAUUUUAUUCUGGAGUUGAUGAGGCAGGUGAAGUGGUCAGUGCAUAGGCAGCUGAUGAUUGUUGCAACUCCUGUGAGGAUGUUCGUGAAAGAUACAGAAAGAAAAGUUGGUCUUUGUCAAACCCUGAUUUGAUCGACCAGUGCAAGAGAGAGGGUUUUCUUCAGAAGGUUAAGGAUAAAGAAGGUGAGGGGUGUAAUAUAUAUGUCUCUUUAGAAGUUAAUAGGGUGGCAGGGAAAUUUCAUUUUGCACCUGGGAAAAGCUUUCCGCAAUCAAAUGCUCAUCUGCUUUAUUUUCUAGCAUUUCAAAAGGACAGUUUUAAUGUAAGACGAAGGCAGCCCUUUUGUUUCCAUUCUCUGUGUAUGUUAGCAUGUCUUAUCUGAAAAUGAUUAUCUAAUGU